UUGGAGGGCAAGUCUGGUGCCAGCAGCCGCGGUAAUUCCAGCUCCAAUAGCGUAUAUUAAAGUUGUUGCAGUUAAAAAGCUCGUAGUUGAAUUUCGAGAUCAGUACGCUGGUCGUGCCUUCGGUAUGCACUGGUGUCACUGGUUUCUCCCUUCUGAAGAACCGUCAUGCCAUUCAGUUGGUGUGGCGGGGAAUCAGGACUGUUACUUUGAAAAAAUUAGAGUGUUUAAAGCAGGCUCGCGCUUGAAUACAUUAGCAUGGAAUAAUGAAAUAGGACGUUUGACCCUAUUUUGUUGGUUUCUAGGAUCGACGUAAUGAUUAAUAGGGAUAGUUGGGGGCAUUAGUAUUCAAUUGUCAGAGGUGAAAUUCUUGGAUUUAUUGAAGACUAACUACUGCGAAAGCAUUUGCCAAGGAUGUUUUCAUUAAUCAAGAACGAAAGUUAGGGGAUCGAAGACGAUCAGAUACCGUCGUAGUCUUAACCAUAAACUAUGCCGACUAGGGAUCGGAUGAUGUUAAUUUUUUAAUGACUCAUUCGGCGCCUUACGGGAAACCAAAGUGUUUGGGUUC
rnacentral:rRNA from 1 species